rnacentral:rRNA from 1 species
GACGAACGCUGGCGGCGUGCUUAACACAUGCAAGUCGAACGGUGAAGGGGCCUGCUUUUGUGGGUCCUGGAUGAGUGGCGAACGGGUGAGUAACACGUGAGUAACCUGCCCCCUUCUUCUGGAUAACCGCAUGAAAGUGUGGCUAAUACGGGAUAUUCUGGGUCUGUCGCAUGGUGGGCCUGGGAAAGGUUUUUUUCCGGUGGGGGAUGGGCUCGCGGCCUAUCAGCUUGUUGGUGGGGUGAUGGCCUACCAAGGCGGUGACGGGUAGCCGGCCUGAGAGGGUGGACGGUCACACUGGGACUGAGACACGGCCCAGACUCCUACGGGAGGCAGCAGUGGGGAAUAUUGCACAAUGGGCGCAAGCCUGAUGCAGCGACGCCGCGUGAGGGAUGGAGGCCUUCGGGUUGUGAACCUCUUUCGCCAGUGAAGCAGGCCUGCUCCUUUUUUGUGGGUGGGUUGACGGUAGCUGGAUAAGAAGCGCCGGCUAACUACGUGCCAGCAGCCGCGGUAAUACGUAGGGCGCGAGCGUUGUCCGGAAUUAUUGGGCGUAAAGAGCUCGUAGGCGGCUGGUCGCGUCUGUCGUGAAAUCCUCUGGCUUAACUGGGGGCUUGCGGUGGGUACGGGCCGGCUUGAGUGCGGUAGGGGAGGCUGGAACUCCUGGUGUAGCGGUGGAAUGCGCAGAUAUCAGGAAGAACACCGGUGGCGAAGGCGGGUCUCUGGGCCGUUACUGACGCUGAGGAGCGAAAGCGUGGGGAGCGAACAGG